rnacentral:misc_RNA from 1 species
GAUGAAGAACGCAGCGAAAUGCGAUAAGUAAUGCGAAUUGCAGAAUCCGUGAGUCAUCGAAUCUUUGAACGCACAUUGCGCCCCUUGGUAUUCCAUGGGGCAUGCCUGUUCGAGCGUCAUUUGUACCUUCAAGCUUUGCUUGGUGUUGGGUGUUUGUCCUGCCUUUGCGUACGGACUCGCCUUAAAUCUAUUGGCAGCCGGCAAUCUGGUGUUUGAGCGCAGCACAUUUUGCGCUCUUCGCUGGUAUUGCGGCGUCCAUGAAGCCUAUAUUCUAGCGCUUGACCUCGGAUCAGGUAGGGAUACCCGCUGAACUUAAGCAUAUCAAUAAGCGGAGGA